rnacentral:tRNA from 1 species
GCUUUCGUGGUGUAACGGUAGCACACUCGGCGCGUAUUCGAGGGGUCCAGGUUCGAGUCCCGGCGAGGACA